GAGUGUGAACACCAACAGGAAGUGGUGUUGGAUCAUCCAGUAGGAAACAUACAGAUGGGGCAACUUGUACUACAAGCAGAGGAGAUUCCAAAGACCAACAGGAAACACCAACAGGAAGUGGUGUUGAAUUAACCAGAUCGAAACAUACAGUUCCUGAAACGCUAAGAAAAAGAAAAAAAGAAAAGUGUUAUCAAGUGUUAACAAAUGAACGUAUGAAGUUCAUUGCACUGGAGAAUGAAUAUCGCGAGGCCAAGUACAGGUUGGAGGAGGCAAAGAGAAAAGCAGAGGAGGCCUCAUACAGUUUCCAAGAAACUAAAAAAAUAAAAAAAGCGUUACUAGAGGAGGCAACGUUUAAGGUGGAGGAGGCGAGGUUAAGUUUGGAGGA